AACCAGAAAGUCACGGCUAACUACGUGCCAGCAGCCGCGGUAAUACGUAGGUGGCAAGCGUUGUCCGGAUUUAUUGGGCGUAAAGCGAGCGCAGGCGGAUGCUUAAGUCUGAUGUGAAAGCCCUCGGCUUAACCGAAGAACUGCAUCGGAAACUGUUUUUCUUGAGUGCAGAAGAGGACAGUGGAACUCCAUGUGUAGCGGUGGAAUGCGUAGAUAUAUGGAAGAACACCAGUGGCGAAGGCGGCUGUCUGGUCUGCAACUGACGCUGAGGCUCGAAAGCAUGGGUAGCGAACAGGAUUAGAUACCCUGGUAGUCCAUGCCGUAAACGAUGAGUGCUAAGUGUUGGAAGGUUUCCGCCUCUCAGUGCUGCAGCUAACGCAUUAAGCACUCCGCCUGGGGAGUACGACCGCAAGGUUGAAACUCAAAGGAAUUGACGGGGGCCCGCACAAGCGGUGGAGCAUGUGGUUUAAUUCGAAGCUACGCGAAGAACCUUACCAGGUCUUGACAUCUAGUGCCAUUUGUAGAGAUACAAAGU
rnacentral:rRNA from 1 species